UGUGCGUCCAUAGUGGGUGCUUUAGAAACGG
rnacentral:piRNA from 1 species